rnacentral:rRNA from 1 species
CACGUAGGGGGCGAGCGUUGUCCGGAUUUAUUGGGCGUAAAGAGCUCGUAGGUGGCUUAGUAAGUCGGGUGUGAAACCUCCAGGCUCAACCUCGGAGACGCCACCCGAUACUGCUAUAGCUUGAGUCCGGUAGGGGAGCGUGGAAUUCCUGGUGUAGCGGUGAAAUGCGCAGAUAUCAGGAGGAACACCAGCGGCGAAGGCGGCGCUCUGGGCCGGUACUGACACUGAGGAGCGAAAGCGUGGGGAGCAAACAGG